rnacentral:rRNA from 1 species
AUUGAACGCUGGCGGCAUGCUUUACACAUGCAAGUCGAACGGUAGAGGGGGCAACCCCUUGAGAGUGGCGAACGGGUGAGUAAUGCAUCGGAACGUGCCCAGUCGUGGGGGAUAGCCCGGGGAAACCUGGAUUAAUACCGCAUACGACCUGAGGGUGAAAGCGGGGGACCGAAAGGCCUCGCGCGAUUGGAGCGGCCGAUGUCGGAUUAGGUAGUUGGUGGGGUAAAGGCCUACCAAGCCUGCGAUCCGUAGCUGGUCUGAGAGGACGACCAGCGACACUGGGAGUGAGACACGGCCCAGACUGCUACGGGAGGCAGCAGUGGGGAAGUUUGGCCCAUGGGCGCAAGCCUGAUCCAGCCAUGCCGCGUGCGGGAAGAAGGCCUUCGGGUUGUAAACCGCUUUUGUCAGGGAAGAAAUCCGUUGGACUAAUACUCUGGGGGGAUGACGGUACCUGAAGAAUAAGCACCGGCUAACUACGUGCCAGCCGCCGCAGUAA